rnacentral:misc_RNA from 1 species
GUUAGCUGCUAAUGUGGCCAAUGCUCUACCAGAGAAUGGUACCCUGCAUAAGUUGGCCGAGGAGGUUGAGUACAUUGCUGAGAUAGUGGAUAAGGAUGCACAGAAGGUUGAAAUCAUCAUAAAGAAGAUUGAAGAUGUCAGCAAUCGGAUAGACGCUGCUGUGGAGCCUGUCAUUGAAGAGCUCGAAAAGGAAUUCAAACCAUAGCCAAGCAUCUGGUGGAUCAGAA